AGGCUGGCUCCUGACGUCCGUCCUGCGCCUCCUUCAGCCCACGGGAUCCUCUGGGAGUUAAGAAACUCAUAUUGCUCAAGUCAGAAUUGGGGAAAUCUUGAGCUGUUGUGACAAGGAUGGGAGUUCUGCCACCUGAGAGGGAGUGGCCUCUGCAGGACUGUCUUCUUGCUCAUAUGCCAAGGUGUCCUUGAAGGACAGCAAUGUCAUCUUUUACCUGGCCACACCUCCACAGAGAACCAGGUACAAGAAAGCCUUGAUGGUCCCCAAGCCUAGGCCAGAGCUUGUAUCCAGCCUGGCACAUCUGGGAAGAUCUCAGGAGACUGUGGACCUGUGAACUCAGGGUACCAAGCUAUGAAUGCUACCAGGUUCCGUCAUCUCAGCUACUCAGGAGUUUGAGACAGGAGGAUGCAAGGCUGACUCUGAACCCCACAACCCUGCUGCUUCUUCCUGUUAGGACUACAGGCACCCUCAAACACUGGCAUCACGCUGGGCACCUCUGCUUGUAAUGUGGCUGCAGCUCUGACCACUCAUUCGUGAAGGGGAUGGCAAGAGGCAGAUGCACACACACACUCGUACAAGGCACCUGUCUGUUCCUCAUUCCCUAUUUUGAUUCUGUAAUAAAGGGUACUUGGACUGGGCUGUGGCUGAAAGGGCACC
ensembl:lincRNA Gm26537 predicted gene, 26537